rnacentral:lncRNA from 1 species
AAUUACAUUAGUACAAGGACGAGACACGACGUGGCUACAUGAGUUCGUACAAAGUUUAAAUUGAUGAAGGGCGGCCUAGAUAGGGGCCUAGAGCUAGGCUGACAGAUCAACACUAUUUUUAUUCCAAACAAACUGAGCUAGGAAACAUACGCUGAAAAACACAAACGAACUCCAGCAUCGGCCGCCGGAAUCAGGUGGAAGAAGCGGAGUUGUGGGAUGCACGGAGGGUGCUCCGCAUCUGCGGGCAGCGAGCGUCGCGGAGGCACAGAACAGUCCGAUCGUUGAGCCCCUCCGUGCACAGCCUCCGGAUGACGCCGCAGGCGCAGUUUCCUCGGGUACGACAGAGGUCAUCACUGUUGAAGCCGUAGAUCAACUAGGCAUAGAUAGAUCCGGAUUUACCAUUGUACUCACCUAAUCCCGAGCCCGAGGAACUCCCUGCUCCGGCCAUCGGUGCCGGUGUAGUCGUUGGUGGCGUGAGGGAAGAGGUGUGGUUGUGGGUGGUGCUUCCCGUGAGCACUGCGCUAACCCUAGAUCGGAAGGGGAUUUAGGUGGGGAGUCUGGCGGCGCGG